CAGCAUUCAUCCCUGCUGACUUUGAGGAGGACACAGAGCAGUCGGGGUUUUAGAGCCUGGAGUCUUGCAUCAUUCAAAACAGGCUGUUCUGCAUAAUUAGUUGCUGCAAGAGGAAAUGGACCAAUGGCGUCUUCUGCUGUGAAACUGUUAAUGGAGAACUUAUGGAGAGAAAGUCAAGUCCUCCCAUCCAAAUUGGAAUGUGAAAGAAAUCUGUUGGAAGGUGAUGACAGAAAUGAAGUAAAACAGUUGUUUCCUGAUCCGCAUGCCAGGUCCUUGAGAAGCAAAUGUAAGAGCAAAAUUAAACAUGGGCGAAGAUUUCAUUAAGAGAAGUGUCCUUGUGGAAGGAGAAGACUGGAAGAGACAACAGACCCCAGUGCAAGUCUGACCCUUAGUGAAACAGAAAGGAAGAGAAGGGUGGCUGAGGUUUCCUAACUGUUGUGCUUUCUGAAGGCACAUCAUACCUAGCUGACGUCAGAAUCUCCCAGGUGUGUGACCAUGUUAGCAAACCUGCCCCAGUCAGUGGUUGGCUGGGAGCAGUUGUGGGAAUUACAUCCUCUAGUCAAAUGCUGUGUCACAAGGUCAGAUAUAGAAGAGUUCUGGAAUGGGAGUUCUGCAGGUGUGAACUCAUUGUGGUCACAUCUAUACAUUGUUUUAAAACAUGCAGGAAUAAC
rnacentral:lncRNA from 1 species